CUUGGAGGGCCGGGCUGCUCGGGUAUCAAUGGCCUCGCCUUGGACAUGGGGCCUCUCAGAUUCAAGAUUGAUGAUUUUGAUGGCCAACUGCCCAAUUUAUAUGCUAAUCCUUUCGCUUGGACAAAGAUUUCAAACAUGAUCUUUGUGGAUUGGCCUAUUGGUACUGGAUUCUCUUACUCAAAAACUGCGAAAGAUUAUACCACCGAAGAUGUUGAGGGGACUGCGUUUAUCUGCAAGUUUCUUAGGAAGGUAAGGUGAUAAAAUG